UUGAGUGAAAUGACUUUGCAAACUUAAAAACGUAGCAGCAAAGCAAAACUAUCCUGAGCUGUGUUUCGUUACAACCAGAAUAAAACAUGUCUAUUUGAAAUCCCCAGAAUGAUUGRGAAAUAUGAUGGUUCCAUAUUUCCUAAUUUGCAAAUGGCACUAAAAAUAGUUGGAAAUACAUCAGGUAUUGCUCUGUAUGAACUGUUGUUACAAUUGCUGUAGGACUGUGAGCAGAUAYCCACAAAACAGUCUCUUUACUGACUUACCUGACAUAACAUGAAUAAAAUUGAGAAUCAUUAUACUUCCUCUGUCAAUAUUACUGCCUGUACAGUAGCAAAAACCGUAGCAAAAUACACCUCGAUAGGAUGCAAAAUCCUAGCUUGAUAUAAAUUGACUUGAUUGGAGUCUUAGAUUGGUUAUCUUAGAUUGAAACCUAAGGAUUUGGCAUGUAAUACUAUGUAUUAUCAAGAGAGAGUGUUUUSUCUGAAAGGUUAAUUCUGACAGGUGCCGAAAACUUUCUAUUCCCAUUCAAGUUGCAGGAUGUUGGAUGAUGCACUUACUGUCUUGCAAGUGGCACAGUGUAGCAUCUUUUUUCUGCAAGGCAAAACAUAGGACAAGCAUGGAAGCAGAAAAUCAAAGGCUGGUUAAUGGGAAAGUGAUGAAGAAAUGGUUGUAUCUCACAGAGAAUGAGAGAAGUUUCACAGAAAAUGGCUGAAGAAAGGUCAAAUUUGUGAGUAUUGUAUGUUGUGAAAUGUACAUUGUGCAAUUAAUGAAAAACUUAUGAAAUUAAGUUUC
rnacentral:lncRNA from 1 species